CGAUUCCUUCACUAAGCAUCGGACAGAUCAGCGUUCACGGAGCCUGCCGUAGCCAUGGAUAGGAGAUAUAAACAAGGCUGGAAAUCAGUGUUCCUGCUCCGAAUUCAAGAUUUUUGCUUCAUGUCAUUAAACUAAACCAUGAGCAGGGUGGCAAAAAGGAAGGAGCCUCGUCUCCUUUGGCAGCGGAGCGAAAAAGUGACCGGAUUAUUCCAGCGCCACUGGUGGCGCUAGUGUUCUAUCUCUCAGUUUGCUUGACCGACCCUCAAUAUUCGACUGGGGUGGAUGCCGGCAGUUAGAUGGUUUGGUACCAAAACGAUUUGAUACAAAAAAUUUGUUGGAACUUGAUAAUCCCACGCGGUCAUCACGAUGAUUAACAGAGAACAGAGAAAACUAGAAGGAAUGAAACUCUGCGCUUUAUUUUCAGCAAAGAAAGUUUUGAACAUGCGAGAAAAAAGAUAAAAAAGGCUGAGGGCGCUAGUGAUGUGGAGAAGGUCUACUUCUCCACUACAGAUUCGGAGCAGUGUGGCAGGGGAAAGAGGAAAAGGUGGGCCAGAACUCACGACUCGUCCUCUGAAUCGGAUGAUGAGUUGCUCACCAAAAGACCCUCCUCAAACAUUGUAAAUAUGUUGCCCGAGGCACCGGUGCAACCAGGUGCACCGGUACAUCUGCCACGGACUUCAAGCCAAAGUUCGCCACUUGUUAUGGCUCCUGCAACGCCAACUACAAGCCAGAAUGCGCUUCAUCAGUCGCCUGCUAUGCAGAUCUCCAGCAGUGAACAAAAUCUUUUCCAGAAGCUGCUGAGGAGUUUCCAUCUGCUAAGGAUGGAAGUAAAAGAGAUUAAAGCGACAUUGGACUUGCUCGUUGAGCAGUCAAACAACAGUAGGAAUCAAUCUUCUGUAGCUGUGACAAACAUAGAUGUUAAACUUCCUCUGGAAGAUUUUGAAGGUGUUCAAAAUCUAGAGAGGUUGCUAGAAGAAGAGAGCAACAAAAACUACUUG